CAUGGAAUCCUGAUAAAUUGGUUUAUUGAAGUAUGAUAUUAACUCAUUCUUAAUUGCCUUUUCCCCUUUUUAAAAUCUAUAAUUCUGAAUCCUCAACUGUAAUUCACUUGGUUGCAGGUUAACUGCAAACUUGAUUUGAUGCCAGAAAUUUUGUUUCUUAUGGUCAUAUUAUUUGACAGAUUUCUUUUUGUUUUUGCAAUAAAAAAGAACCGACAUGCAGUUGGUUAGUCUUACCGUCCUCUUAUUGGCAUCAAAAUAUGAGGAUUUUUUGGCAUCCAAAGGUUAAGGAGUUAGUUAGCCUCGAUAUUGACUCAUAUACAUUGGAGAUCAAAUGCUUCAAUGGAAAAGCUCAUACUUAAAAGGUUGUUGUUUCGUCUAAAUGCACCAACUCCUAACGUUUUCAUCACUAGUUUCUCAAGGCUUGUCAAUGGGAUGCUAAGGUUAGUAAGUGAUAUUAGCUUGUUGGUGGGGAAUUGACGUCAAUCGAAAAGCUUUUGUAUCCAAUUCAUGAUUUAGUGGAAGUCGUCGACCAUGACCUGGUUCAGUGAUGCAGGCUAGCACGCUAAGUAAUGAUGUGUGUAUCUGCAACUAAGGGCUGAGAAUACUGGAGAUCUGGGAGCAAUUGACGUGAUAGUUGGAGAGACUGGUUCGAAGGUAUCAAGGAUCUCUUAACUAUAUCUGCAACAUUUUAGAUGUAAAGUGUGAUUGGCAAUUUAGCUGGAGUUGGUGUAGAAAUGAUUGAAGAUGAAGUGGAGUAACAGGUUAUUUUCAAAACUUACCUCUGCAAAGCUGGAUGUUAUCCAACUGGAAAUUGGCGUGGUUGGUAUUUUUCUCAGUAUAUGCGGAUUAGGGUGCAGUUUGACUAUCAUGGAUUCUAGAUUCUUUGGAUCUUUGGAGCGGCGUACAUAAUU